AGUGAACGCUGGCGGUAGGCCUAACACAUGCAAGUCGAACGGCAGCACAGUAAGAGCUUGCUCUUACGGGUGGCGAGUGGCGGACGGGUGAGGAAUACAUCGGAAUCUACUUUUUCGUGGGGGAUAAUGUAGGGAAACUUACGCUAAUACCGCAUACGACCUACGGGUGAAAGCAGGGGAUCUUCGGACCUUGCGCGAUUGAAUGAGCCGAUGUCGGAUUAGCUAGUUGGCGGGGUAAAGGCCCACCAAGGCGACGAUCCGUAGCUGGUCUGAGAGGAUGAUCAGCCACACUGGAACUGAGACACGGACCAGACUCCUACGGGAGGCGGCAGUGGGGAAUAUUGGACAAUGGGCGCAAGCCUGAUCCAGCCAUACCGCGUGGGUGAAGAAGGCCUUCGGGUUGUAAAGCCCUUUUGUUGGGAAAGAAAAGCAGCAGGUUAAUACCCCGCUGUUCUGACGGUACCCAAAGAAUAAGCACCGGCUAACUUCGUG
rnacentral:rRNA from 1 species